rnacentral:rRNA from 1 species
AAACAUGUCUCUUUGAGUUUUUUUAAUGAAGAGUUGGGCCUGCUCGGUGAUUAAUAUUUAACAGCUGCGGUAUUAUAACUGUACUAAGGUAGCAUAAUAAUUUGCUCUAUAAAUUGGGGCUAGAAUGAAUGGUUUGACGAGAAUUUAACUGUCUCUAUUUUAUUUAUUAGAAAUUAAUUUUUAUAGUGAAAAAGCUUUAAUUAUUUAAAGGGACGAAAAGACCCUAUUGAGCUUUUGUUAUUAUAUAGAUAUAUAUAUGUAUAUAUAUAUGAUUUAUUUGUAAAUAACUUUGGUUGGGGUGAUCAAGGAAUAAAAAUUAAUUUAAAGUGUUUUAUUAACUUCCUUAAUUUUAAAUUUAGUUGAAGAAUAAACCAAGUUUUUUGCUUAGAAGAUAAGUUACCAUAGGGAUAACAGCGUAAUUUUUUUUGAGAGUUCAUAUUGAAAAAAGAGAUUGCGACCUCGAUGUUGGAUUAAAAUUGACCUUAAGGUGUAGAGGCUUUAUUAGGUAAAUCUGUUCGAUUUUUAAAAUUUUACGUGAUC